UGUUGCUUGAAGCCAUGGGAGUAUAGCCGGUGAUGGAUCGGGACUAGGCUUGGGGGAAGUUGAGGUCCAGAUGGUCAAGGAUAUCAUGCGGGAUGGAUAGGCUAGAGAAUAAUGCACGUGGUGGUGAAGGUUUCCAUAUGGAAUACACAUGGUGUUGUGUGCGCAUGGAAAGCGAAGUCAAAUUUGGAUUGGAGUUCAAGUCUGGAAAGUUUGGAGUUUGUUUUUUGUACGGGAAGGUUUCCUAGGGGAUUAGGACUUUUUGUAUGAGUUGGAUUUGUGGCUAGGGGCAACCAUGUUAUGGGUAUAAAUAGAGAGGGAGCAUGUGGUCUCCCUGUAUCGGAUUUAGAGAGAGUUGAGUUAAGAGAAAAGUUAGUGUUUCGAGUUUAGUCGAGAUGUUGAUCCUGACGGUUUAACCGGAAGCGAGUUGGCGGUCACAUCGGCGGCAGGGAGGUGGUCCAACCAGUGACAAGACGGUGGUCAGACCGGCGGUGUGCAGGCAGUCCAACUAGUGGCGGCACUGCGGUUAGACCGGAGUUGAUCUAACGGUCAGAUUGGCUACGUCGAGAUCUCCAUCGACUUCAAGGGUAACUUUGAAUUCCGCUAAAAGUUUUGAUUUUUGGUAGUACAAUCAUUCACCCCUCCUCUAGUUGGCUUGGUUUUUACUAUUCGAUCCUACACUAAUUGCAUAGCAGCUAGCACUGCAAAUCGAAAUGGUAUCAUACUAUAAUUUUCAGCAGUAAAAGUGAGGUUAUGGACAUGGCUUGGUAAGGAUUCUGGAUGCCUGAAAAGGCUGCUAUUACUGUAGUUUAUUCAUGUAUAGGUAGGCUUCCACAGUUCUAUAGUUGAUUCACCAACUAUGGCUGGCCCAUCUCUUCCAUUCACUAGAACAGCAGGCACAAUCACUUGUUACCAUGUCAAGAUGAUUUCUCGUGUGGUGACUUAUUUUGCCUUCUGGACUGCAAAGCUGUUGUGUUGCAGUUAAUUAAGCCAGAGAGGUUACACUGCAUCACGACUGCUCCUGAACACCAUGACUCGUAUGAACUUGGAUGAUUUGCCAAUUCGUAAUAUGCUCAUUUUCUUCCUUUUGUCUCCCAAUCCUAUUUGUGUAGACAACAGGAACUUGUACAUAAAGCACAGAAGCUCUCGUAUGGGUAUGUAGGCCUCAUAUAUAGGGAAGUUCUUGAUUGACAACGGUCUGAAUUCAUGCGAUAGGUGGUGUAUGGAGCUUCAGCGUGCCUUCUGGUCUAGGAACGUGGUGAUCACAACGUUGUUGUUGCAGUGCUUGUCCCAGCCCUCUACAUUGUUUGCUUGGCAAUUCAUCCGAGCAAGCUGAAAAAUGUAAACCAGAGAGGUAUUUUUGCAUCUGUGGUUUGCGACUUCAAAGCUGAUACUUCAACACAAAUAAAUGGUUGACCAACUCAUAAUGCACACAUUUGCUUCACCAUGCCUCCCAAUCCUAACAUGGCUAUGCUACAUAAGAAGCACUAAAUCACUACUUAGUGGUACGUAUAUCUCAUAGAGAAGUUUUAUCUCCGGUUACUUGGCUUUGUCUCCCGUCUCGUUUUAUCUACUGUCAAAGAGGCGAACAAUUAAGUAUUGGUUGGCAUUUCUCAUUUUACAUACAAAUAAAACUUUUUAGGCCCAUGUUGGAGGAGCCCCAACAGGUUAAUUUUGGAGGACUGGCUGAUAUAUAUGGUUGGGAAGGGUCAAGAUUUCGGACGAUUCGUUCAGCCAAAUAGCCACCCAAUGUCAGGUUUCAGAGUUUGUUUUGUUACCGAAUGUCAAGUGUGACCCAACCACAUUCCUCGUCGUUACGCCUAGAUACCUACCGUGUUGACUUUGAAAUCGAUCGACUAAUAAUGCCUACCUGGCCAACGUUUAUCUUCUUCCUAUGCCGUACUAGCUCCCACUGUCCCCAUAAAGAUUUCAUUUUAUUUUUCGCCAUUCUAAGACAAAUUAGUAGUGGCAAGAUACGACUAUGGUGACGGUCAACAGCUCUAAUUUCAAAGUUUACUGAUCAUAUGCACGUGUUGCCGGCUAGUUAAUAUACUGUCUUGUAAUAUGUUCAGGACAAUACAUACAGGGCCACACACACACACAAAUAGUACACACAUGAAAAAUUAAUUGUUUGAUGGUAGUUUAAAUUCAGAAAAUAUAGAUCAAUAUACGUCAUUUUGUCCAGUUGAUUAUUGAACAGCUCAAUUAUUUUUAGUGAACCUUAUUAAUUACUUGAAACCUUAUUGACCAGUUUGCUCACAUCGCUGCGGCCCGCAUGGGUCAUCUACAGAAAGCUGUCGAUAGCAAGAAAAUCAAUUGGGACCAAAACAAGGAUGUUUAAUUAACUGGAGGCUUUGAAUGGCUUUGUUAAAGUUCUUCUCACACUUGAUUUUUCUAUGAAUCCAUUUGAUAAGUUAUAUGUAUAUAGUCUCGCGACUCUCACUGCUCAGCUAACCCUGAUUUUUCAUUAGCUAUGGCAGCCGGAACCAUUUGCAUCUCUAGCUUGGUUACAAACUGGUCAAUGUGUGCUGGCUUGUCGAAAAUUUGGAGCAAGAGGCAGACAGGCAGUUGUGUUACAGUGCAAACAUGUGGCUUUAUAGCAUCGAUCGGACUCUGCAAGCUCAAUGUGGAUACGUCCUCAGGUCUUGAUUGCUAGCCAACUCGAUGUGUGCUCCUGUGAUUCACGAUGCCUCACAAUCCUGCGUAUGUCGCUAAACCACAUGCUUGGGAAGCGAACUAAAGUUCUCAUUGGUAUGUAGAUUUCAUGGAGAGGUUGUGGGUUCCCUUAUGCUUGUAUACAUCUUGCUUCUCUCUCUGCUACUCUUUCGACUGAAGGGGAAGAAAAUACAAGGAAAAAAUAAUUCACUACUGCACACCCUUAUAAAGCAUAGAAAAUCCAAAAAAUACCAUCGAUAAACAUUCAAAUCCAAGAAAUAUUAUGGGCGAGUGCGAGUUCCAUAUCAAGCAAGCGAUUUAUCCUUGAAAUAUCAUCACCAUUAUCUAGGGUUCCGUGUAUCCCACACCGUUAAAUAUAUUAUUCAUCAUAUAGCACUUAACAGAAUCAGUCGCUUGUACGAUGACAUUUUAUGGAACUCCAUGAAAUCGUAUUUGUAGAUAUCAUAAUUGUGCGGUUGUUAAUGGCAUUUCUUGAAUUUUCUCUAACUUUAAUGCCAUUCCAUUUGUACAUGUUGUAAUUGAAGCAUGCGGGAUCCACGGAGUUGGGAGAAAUAUAAAAUACAAGAAGUUGAAAUACAAGACCAAACCUCAUCUAAUUUUAUUUUGCUAUAUCUUUAAAAUUUGAGCCAAAUACUUUUUGAGCAAAAAUGUUCGAUUCCCUGACUUCAGUUUGCCCCAACGUGCUCUGUACCAACUGAGAAAGCAGCUAGCGUUGGUUGUAUAGCAAAUAUGUUUAACCUUUGAGUCAACCAAAAAAUUCAUAAAGAAUGUAAUGUAGUUAUUUAUUGAACCGACGGUUAAACCGGUGAACAAGCGGUUGGACCAGGGAGCCUUUGAACAGGUAGACUCACUGUUUCGAUCACCGGUCUGAAUUUAACAACUAUGUGUGUGUGUGCACUUCUGUGUGUUCAUCUCCAGAGAUCUAUUGUGUGUGUCCACUACAAUUUGUUGCUCGUGCGUGUGUGUCAUCGCUUGAGUUUGCUGCUCCGUGAGUUCUUCGCAUCCUUGGGCAAAGCUGACAUUACUCUCACAUCAUGUUCUUGUCUGAGACUCUGAAUACUACUGGGAUCUAGAAGCCAUUGCGUUUACAGGAAUUCAGUUAUUCAUAAGCCAUUUCAUUCAGUUUACAGGUAUUAGAAAGAUUUUGCAUUCCAUUCAUUGUUCAAAACAUUUCUCCCAGCUGCUUGCAAGAUGAAUUUACAACUUACUAGUUGUGUGCCCGUGCGUUGCAACAGGAAUCAAAACAAAUCAUGUUCAAAGCUAGAUAUUCACCCCGCCGAUAGCCCUUUAAUGAUUCAUCAAAGCCAAUCUGUGUAAAGCUCGCCACAUAUUGAUUAUCCGAUCAAGUAAUUUGCAGUCCAAAGUAAAUCAAGUAUUGCCUUAA